rnacentral:rRNA from 1 species
CUAAACCAUGCGCAUGUGAUACCUGGCAGGGGUUGUGUGUGUGGGGUUGUGGGGUUCAUCUUCUCAGUGCUGCCGUGCUGGGGGUGAGUGAUAAAACUGCGUGUUAGGUGAAGUGGCCUGGAAUGGUCUGCCGUAGACGGUGAGAGUCCGGUAGCUGAAAACAUGUGGUCUUGCUUGAUGGAUGCCCAAGUAGCAGCGGGCUCGUGGAAUCUGCUGUGAAUCUGCCGGGACCACCCGGUAAGCCUGAAUACUUCCUGGUGACCGAUAGCGGACAAGUACCGUGAGGGAAAGGUGAAAAGUACCCCGGGAGGGGAGUGAAAUAGUACCUGAAACCGGACGCUUACAAUCCGUCAAAGCCUGUGAGUCCUUGUGGCUGCGGGUGAUGGCGUGCCUUUUGAAGAAUGAGCCUGCGAGUUAGUGCUCGGUGGCAAGGUUAACCCGUGUGGGGUAGCCGUAGCGAAAGCGAGUCUGAAUAGGGCGUGGAGUCGCCGGGUCUAGACCCGAAGCGGAGUGAUCUACCCAUGGCCAGGGUGAAGCGACGGUAAGACGUCGUGGAGGCCCGAACCCACUUCAGUUGAAAAUGGAGGGGAUGAGCUGUGGGUAGGGGUGAAAGGCCAAUCAAACUCCGUGAUAGCUGGUUCUCCCCGAAAUGCAUUUAGGUGCAGCGUUGCAUGUUUCUUACCGGAGGUAGAGCUACUGGAUGGCCGAUGGGCCCUAUCAGGUUACUGACGUCAGCCAAACUCCGAAUGCCGGUAAGUGAGAGUGUGGCAGUGAGACUGCGGGCGAUAAGGUUCGUGGUCGAGAGGGAAACAGCCCAGAUCGCCGGCUAAGGCCCCUAAGCGUGUACUAAGUGGAAAAGGAUGUGGGAUCGCAGAGACAACCAGGAGGUUGGCUUAGAAGCAGCCACCC